AUUGAACGCUGGCGGCAGGCCUAACACAUGCAAGUCGAGCGGCAGCGGGAAAGUAGCUUGCUACUUUUGCCGGCGAGCGGCGGACGGGUGAGUAAUGCCUGGGAAAUUGCCAGUCGAGGGGGAUAACAGUUGGAAACGACUGCUAAUACCGCAUACGCCCUACGGGGGAAAGCCGGGGACCUUCGGGCCUUGCGCGAGUGGAUUUGCCCAGGUGGGAUUAGCUAGUUGGUGAGGUAAUGGCUAACCAAGGCGACGGUCCCUAGCUGGUCUGAGAGGAUGAUCAGCCACACUGGAACUGAGACACGGUCCAGACUCCUACGGGAGGCAGCAGUGGGGAAUAUUGCACAAUGGGGGAAACCCUGAUGCAGCCAUGCCGCGUGUGUGAAGAAGGCCUUCGGGUUGUAAAGCACUUUCAGCGAGGAGGAAAGGUUGAUGCCUAAUACGCAUCAACUGUGACGUUACUCGCAGAAGAAGCACCGGCUAACUCCGUGCCAGCCGCCGCAGUAA
rnacentral:rRNA from 1 species